rnacentral:rRNA from 1 species
GUGCCAGCCGCCGCGGUAAUACCGGCAGUUCGAGUGAUGGCCGAUCUUAUUGGGCCUAAAGCGUUCGUAGCCGGCCAGUCAAGUCUGUCGGGAAACCUGCUCGCUCAACGAGCAGCCGUCCGGCGGAAACUGAUUGGCUUGGGACCGGAAGACCCGAAGAGUACGUCCGGGGUAGGAGUGAAAUCCUGUAAUCCUGGACGGACUACCGAUGGCGAAAGCACUGCGGGAGCACGGAUCCGACGGUGAGGAACGAAAGCUGGGGUCUCGAACCGGAUUAGAUACCCGAGUAGUCU